rnacentral:sRNA from 1 species
CCCAUUGCUGUUCCUGCAGAUGAGAAAUACCAGAAACAUACCCUAAGUCCCCAGAAUGCUAAUCCUCCAAGUGGACAAGAUGUCCCCAGGCCAAAAAGCCCUGUUUUCCUUUCUGUUGCUUUCCCAGUAGAAGAUGUAGCUAAAAAAAGUUCAGGAUCUGGUGACAAAUGUGCUCCCUUUGGAAGUUACGGUAUUGCUGGGGAGGUAACCGUGACUACUGCUCACAAACUUCGCAAAGCAGAAACUGAAAACUGGUACGUACACUUUCCUACCAUAAUAUUUAGGCCUUAACACACGCGCGUUUUAAGCAUUUUGAUUUCUUGACCUGGAGAUUUAGAUAUUUAAAAACAAUUUGAGAUAAUAAGUUGGGGUAUACUCUAACUAACUUCCUGGGGUUACUGUCUCCAACUUCCUAACCACCGGUUACUAAUAACUGCACAGCAGGUGCACUGUA